GACGAACGCUGGCGGCGUGCUUAACACAUGCAAGUCGAACGGAAAGGCCCUGCUUUUGUGGGGUGCUCGAGUGGCGAACGGGUGAGUAACACGUGAGUAACCUGCCCUUGACUUUGGGAUAACUUCAGGAAACUGGGGCUACUACCGGAUAGGAUCUCCUGCUGCAUGGUGGGGGUUGGAACUUUUCGGCGGGUGGGGAUGGACUCGCGGCUUAUCAGCUUGUUGGUGGGGUAGUGGCUUACCAAGGCUUUGACGGGUAGCCGGCCUGAGAGGGUGACCGGCGACAUUGGGACUGAGAUACGGCCCAGACUCCUACGGGAGGCAGCAGGGGGGAAUAUGGCACAAUGGGAGGAAGCCUGAUGCAGCAACGCCGCGUGCGGGAUGACGGCCUUCGGGUUGUAAAACGCUUUCGCCUGUGACGAAGCGGGAGUGACGGUAAUGGGUAAAGAAGCACCGGCUAACUACGUG
rnacentral:rRNA from 1 species